AUACGGAGGGGGUUAGCGUUGUUCGGAAUUACUGGGCGUAAAGCGCACGUAGGCGGACUGGAAAGUUGGGGGUGAAAUCCCGGGGCUCAACCUCGGAACUGCCUCCAAAACUUCCAAUCUAGAGAUCGAGAGAGGUGAGUGGAAUUCCAAGUGUAGAGGUGAAAUUCGUGGAUAUUUGGAGGAACACCAGUGGCGAAGGCGGCUCACUGGCUCGAUACUGACGCUGAGGUGCGAAAGCGUGGGGAGCAAACAGGAUUAGAAACCCGAGUAGUCC
rnacentral:rRNA from 1 species